UACAGAGGGGGCAAGCGUUGUUCGGAAUUACUGGGCGUAAAGGGCGCGUAGGCGGCCUUCUAAGUCAGACGUGAAAUCCCCGGGCUCAACCCGGGAACUGCGUCUGAUACUGGAGGGCUUGAAUCCGGGAGAGGGAUGUGGAAUUCCAGGUGUAGCGGUGAAAUGCGUAGAUAUCUGGAGGAACACCAGCGGCGAAGGCGGCAUCCUGGACUGGUCCUGACACUCAUGAGCGAAAGCGUGGGGAGCGAUCCGG
rnacentral:rRNA from 1 species